CCUCACCUCCUGUGAGACUCAGUCACCUGCCCUGGUCCUGCAGCUGCCUGUCUGCCAGGAGGGCAGAGGGAACCACGCUGUGCUGGCAACUGGAAUUACAUCCUUAGUCUUUCUGGGAGGCUCCAAGACAACCUUGAAGAAAGGUUUAACGGCUUCCAUCAAUACUGGGUUUAUCAGGACCUUGGACAGUGCUCACGGACUGCUCUGUGCCCACAUUUCUUGACUGGUCUCAUGGAGCACUAAGAGGUUAUGGGAGCCAGCAAGAUGGCUCAGUGGGCUAAGGCCCUUGUGACCUUACCUCAUGACCUGUGUUCUGAUCGCAGAACUCACGUGGUAGAAGGAAAGAACCAACCCCACAGCUGUCUCUUCGGUCCUCUCACUCAUUGCCUAAUCCACGCAAAUAAAGAAGUGCAAAAAAAAAAAAUAGUUGGUGUGACUGGAGAAGGAACUGGAGAAGGAACCUGGAGGCAGGAGUCAGUCAACAGCCAGGGAGUAAGACUCAUAGGGACAGCAAGGUUCCAGGUCUGCUUCUAAAGGAUUAGCUUCAGUCUUAA
rnacentral:lncRNA from 1 species